UAGGAAUACGUAACUUCCAGGGACUUUACCAGACAUUGUUAUAAAUUGCUCUCUGGGUAGAUUUGGUUUAAUAGUUUUUUAGCAUCGAACAAGGAAACAUUAUUUUGGUCAGAAUGCGUUUGGCAGUGGUGAUAGUUUGUGUUUUCAUCUUCGCAUGCGUAGACGCAAGAGUUGGCCAAUAUUCCCCGGAACAGUUAAAAAACAACCCAAAACUAAAAUGGUCGAAGAUCGUCAGACACACGAGGGACUUGAAUGACCUUGAAUGGGACGGGCAGUUCCAGGGUGAAGAUAUCUUCAGCAGCACCAACCAAGAACUUCUUGUAAGUACAAGUUUACCUACUA